rnacentral:siRNA from 1 species
GGGCUUCGAAUGGGCCUUCUCUU